rnacentral:lncRNA from 10 species
AAUGGUGGUUUCAGAUGUGUUCAUUUUAUUAUGCUUUUAAAACUUAGGUACAUGUUACAUAUAUUCAUUUUAAAUGCCUUGAUACAAAUAAAAAAGGAAAGCACAUAUAUACAAAUAAGAAUGCCACUAUCAUGGGAUAACUUUGAACCUGCUUAAAGUUUUCUCAAUUAACGUAUUCACAAGCUUCAGUACUGUAACUAUUAGCUGGCAAAUGUCUUACAACACACUAUAUACAUGUCAUGAUGCUAGGGUUAGAAAUCAUCGUCCUGUUAGAGUACUUAGACCAGAACAAUAGUAAUGCCUUUUUCAUGUUUUAAAAUAUUAUAUACCAGGGUGAUUCUCUUUCAACUUGUUAUAUAGUCUGUACUUGCAGUAUGCGCAGGCAGGCUACUAAGUUUCUCUCAGCCUCUGUCUCUAGAAUUUAAAGCAGUCACUGAGUGGCAGAAAUUUCUUCUAAAAUCUAUUAUAUAUAGACUGGGCACAGUGGUUCAUGCCUGUAAUCCCAGCAUUUAGGAGGCUGAGUCAGGAGGAUUGCUUGAACCCAGGAAUUGGAGACCAGCCUGGGCAACGAGACUCUGUCUCUAGAAAAAAACAAAAAACAAAAAGCAAACUAUCAUAUAGAAGUUGGAACAUUAUUAGCUGCUACACUAAGCAGCACUGAAUAGCCUUCCAAAUUUCUGCUCAGCUGGAAGAACACUUGAUCUCAAAAAUGCUUUGGUGCAGGAGAUACACAAUGUAUGUCAACUCUGACAGACACUGUUAGAGGUGCCCAUUAUCCAAUUCUCAUCUUCCUAACAGAAUCUCAAAAUGUUAAUUUGGCCCAUGACAACCCAGAUAGAAUAUUACGUCCCAUCCAGCUUCAUGGCUAGUGGGACCAAGCAACUGUUUGAAAUUGAAGUUUAUGUAUUGUGUGUAACUUCCAAGAAGUGUUCUUGGGGGUGGGGGAGGUAAUGCCCUCUACCAGCUGGCUCAGAUGCCGAUAGGAAGUUUCUAGCUAGAGCAGCUGUCUUCAAGUAAGAACUGAAAGCCACAUGUUGGCCAGCUGCCAUCUCUUAAAACAAAAUCCAAGUCCUAGCUCUUGAGCCAUAAAGAAGAAAUAGAGGUAUCUCUAUACUGGAUCCACC